UUGCCCUCUUAAGUCUGUCAGUGUCUUAAGUGGCCAGUACGGAGGGGUAUAACAGUUCUCUCUCAAACCCAGAGGUGAGGCUGAAACUCUUCUUUGGAUCACGCUGAGAGGAACAUGU
rnacentral:snoRNA from 7 species